UUUCCGUAGGUGAACCUGCGGAAGGAUCAUUAUUGUAUAACCGAGGUGCGAGGGCUGUCGCUGACCCGAAAGGUCGUGCACGCCCGAGUGCCCUCACACACAUCCAUCUCACCCCUAUGUGCACCACCGCGUGGGUCCCCCUUUGGCUUGUUCGGAGGGGGGCUUACGUUUUCACACAAACUUUGUAUGCAGUGUAGAAUGUAUUUUUUGUUUUUGCGAUCACGCAAUCAAUACAACUUUCAACAACGGAUCUCUUGGCUCUCGCACCAUGAAGAACGCAGC
rnacentral:misc_RNA from 1 species